rfam:Candidatus Aminicenantes bacterium RBG_16_63_16 RBG_16_scaffold_143, whole genome shotgun sequence.
UGGAGCGGGCGAGGCGGUUGCUCCUUUCUCUCCGGCGGAGACGAAAGGGGAGGAAAGUCCGAACUCCACAGGGCAGGAUGGUCGCUAACGGCGACCCGGGCGACCGGGGGAAAGUGCCACAGAAAACACACCGCCGAUGGGGGAGGGGCGACUCUUUCCCAGGCAAGGGUGAAAAGGCGAGGUAAGAGCUCACCGUCCCCGUGGCGACACGGGGAGCAGGGCAAACCCCAUCCGGAGCAAGACCAAACGAGCCCCACAAGGGGAUGGCCCGUCCCUUGGGGUGGGUAGGUCGCUGGAUCUCUUGAGCAAUCAAGAGAGUAGACAAAUAACCGCCGCCCGCCGAGCGCGGGAGACAGGAUUCGGCUUACGGCCCGCUCCAACCA